rnacentral:misc_RNA from 1 species
AAAAUAGUCCGCGCUCGCAGAGACACGACGAUCACUUCGGGAAACGUGACACUCGUGACAGUAGUUUUACAACAUUUGUGAAAUUCACGGCGGGGUCUAAAGGAAGUAACCGAUCGGUACAAAUCGUACGUCGAGCAUAUUAAUGGUCAAGAAAUACGUGUAUACGUAGGCGCGAGAAUAUCAAAAGGAGUUGAUAUUACUACGCCGCACGUUGUGGAAGGAAGCAGAAAUCGAGUACUAGCAGGAAGUGGGUAGAAGGGGGUACGUCGUUGAGCUAGUUGAUUCGGUGGUGGCUACAUGUGGCUGUCCGCCGGUCGCGACUACGAGACAUUUCCUAUUGAGGCAUAAAAAGUUACAUUUUCCAACGGAAAUCGAUAGUUGAAAGAAGCCGUAAUCAUGCAAAUGGAUCCAACGACGGUGCAACUUAUCCAGGUUCUAGAGAGAACAGUCUCAUCAGACAAAAAUGAAUUGGAGGCAGCUCAGAAUUUUCUAGAGCAAGCAGCAAGGGCUAAUCUUCAUGAAUUUUUGCAAAGACUUAGCAGCGUGCUUGUUACUGCUGCUGCAAGCCCUGUUGCUCGUAUGGCAGCAGGUCUUCAGCUUAAAAAUCAACUUACAUCCAAAGAUCCAGACCUAAAAUAUCAAUAUCAACAACGUUGGCUUGCGAUUCCUGUAGAAACAAGAGAAUAUAUUAAGAAAAAUAUUUUUGGGGCACUUGGAACAGAGAACAAUAGGCCAGGUUCUGCACCACAGUGUGUUGCAUAUGUAGCAGUUGCUGAAUUACCUGUUCGUGAAUGGACCAAUGUUAUUCAGCUGUUAGUUAAUAAUGUUGUAAAUCCAAACAGUACAGAAAUGUUAAAAGAAGCAACACUAGAAGCCAUUGGUUAUAUUUGUCAAGAUAUAGAAAGCGAUGUUUUGGUACCUCAGUCUAAUGAAAUUCUCACAGCUAUUAUUCAUGGUAUGAAAGGAUCUAGUACUUCGCAUUAUGUUCGUCUUGCAGCUACAAGUGCACUCUACAAUUCAUUAGAAUUUACCAAAGGAAAUUUUGAGAUAGAGACAGAACGAAACUUCAUUAUGGAAGUGGUAUGCGAGGCGACGCAAUCUUUAAACACACAAGUUAAAGUAGCAGCAUUACAGUGUCUUGUGAAGAUUAUGUCGUUAUAUUAUCAAUAUAUGGAACCUUACAUGGCUCCAGCACUUUUUCCGAUUACUUUAGAAGCUAUGAAAUCAGAUAUUGAUGAAGUUGCACUGCAAGGAAUUGAGUUUUGGUCAAAUGUAUCUGAUGAGGAAGUAGAUUUAGCCAUGGAAGAAGGUGAAGCCUCCGAUGGUGGUCGACCGCCGGUCAAAGUAUCGAGGCAUUAUGCAAAGGGUGCUUUGCAAUACUUGGUACCUGUUUUGAUGAAGAAACUCACUAAACAAGAAGAAUUCGAUGAUGAAGACGAUUGGAAUCCUUCAAAAGCAGCCGGAGUAUGUUUAAUGUUACUAUCAUCUUGUUGCGAAGAUGCUAUUGUUCCAUUCGUUUUGCCAUUCAUCAAAGAUAGUAUCAAAAGUCCAGAUUGGAGGUAUAGAGAUGCUGCUUUGAUGGCUUUUGGUUCGAUUCUCGGAGGCGUCGAUCAUGCCACUUUGAAACCUUUGGUAGAGCAAGCAAUGCCAACACUUAUCGAACUAAUGUAUGAUAGCAGUGUCGCGGUAAGGGAUACAGCUGCAUGGACGUUUGGUCGAAUUUGUGAGAUCAUACCAGAAGCGGCGAUUAGUGAGACAUACCUGAAACCAUUGUUAGAAGCUUUGAUAAAUGGUUUGAAGGCGGAACCUCGUGUUGCAGCAAACGUUUGUUGGGCAUUUACGGGUCUUGCAGAGGCUAGUUACGAGGCUGCUGAAAGUUUAGAAGGGCAAAAUCCAGAAACUUAUUGCAUGUCUCAAUACUUUGAUUUUAUUAUUCAGAGAUUAUUGGAAACAACAGAUCGUCCGGAUGGAGCUCAAGCUAACUUAAGGUCAGCUGCAUACGAAGCGCUAAUGGAUAUGGUGAAAAACUCUCCGCGCGAUUGUUAUAUAACCGUGCAGAAGACGACGAUGGUAAUUCUGGAAAGAUUGCAGCAGGUACUGCAAAUGGAGACACAUAUCCAGAGCCAUUCGGAUCGUGCUCAGUACAACGAUUUGCAAUCGUUGUUAUGUGCAACUUUACAAUCCGUACUCCGUAAAGUUACACCAGAAGAUGCUCCUCAUAUCUCUGAUGUAAUAAUGACAGCGUUAUUGUCCAUGUUCAAUUCGAAUUCUUGCAAAGCCGAGGGUGUACAGGAAGAUGCUCUCAUGGCUGUAUCGACUCUGGUCGAAGUGUUGGGAGAGCGUUUCUUGAAGUACAUGGAUGCGUUCAAACCCUAUCUUUGUCUUGGUUUAAAAAAUUAUGCAGAGUAUCAAGUUUGUUGCGCUGCGGUAGGUUUGACUGGUGAUAUCUGCCGCGCCUUGAAGAGCAAGAUGUUACCUUACUGCGACGAGAUUAUGACCCUGUUGCUAGAAAAUCUUAGCAACGAUUCGGUUAAUCGUUCUGUGAAACCUCAAAUCUUUUCUGUUUUCGGUGAUGUUGCUCUUAGUAUUGGUCCAGAAUUCAAGAAAUACUUGGAUGUGGUACUUCAAACGCUGGCUCAGGCUUCCCAAGCGAACGUGGAUAGAAGCGACUAUGAUAUGAUCGAUUAUUUAAAUGAAUUACGCGAAGGUGUUCUUGAGGCUUACACUGGUAUAGUGCAAGGACUACGUGGUGACGAAACAAAUCCUUGUUCAGACGCUGCGAUUGCUUUGGUGGAGCCACACGUACCCUUUAUCAUUCAGUUUAUUACAUCAAUAGCUCAAGACCGUGAACAUUCCGAAGGCAACAUUUCAGCCUCGGUGGGAUUGCUUGGUGAUUUGGUCACUGUUUUCGGAGUAAAACUUUUGCCAAUGGUUGAGACUGAACCGCUUACAGAGCUCUUAACUAAAGCUAGACGAUCACGCAUUGAUAAGACCAAAACUCUGGCCAACUGGGCAACUAAAGAGAUUCGAAAGCUCAAGAAUGUUGCUAAUUCCACAUCUAGUUGAUCACCCCACGGUUGUACUGUCGUGCAAUUUGAUUUGACUAGAGAGCUAUCGAACACAAUACAAAGACAACAAGAUUGGAUGGUGCGGAUGCGAGUUGAUGGAUGUGCGUGAGUUUCGAAGCGAUGACGAUGAUGGGGUGAUGAAUCUGCACGUGUCCCUGCUCUGGCGACGGUAUUCGAGUACCGACACGUUGAGCACAACCCCAAAUGAUCGAGAAAAUAAAUACCUGUCUGCCGGAUGUCUGCCGACAACGGAUGAUGAGGAGUGCAAGUGGAUGUUGCCGAUGAAUGAGCCAAGGCCGAAGUCUGCCGAAAUGUUCCGGUGAUGCAAGUAUGCCUGAUAACGAGCCUGGGGCUUCUACCCGCGUGAUUGAGAAGUUGAACCUGAGGAAAGGACGACUUCGAUGGACGAUGUUCGUGGCCAGUGAGAGAGAGAGAGAGAGAGAGAGAGAGAGAGAGAGAGAGAGAGAAAACACAAAAACACAAUUGCGUUCUGUAUGUCUCCUAUAC